AUCCAGCUCAGGAGACCUAAAUAAAACGAAACGCGCGUCCUGGAU
rnacentral:hammerhead_ribozyme from 1 species